rnacentral:rRNA from 2 species
ACGAGACCUCAGGUCAGGCGGGGCUACCCGCUGAAUUUAAGCAUAUCAAUAAGCGGAGGA